AAAGAACGUCGCCGGACAAUGCGAGGGUUUUUUAACCAGCAUAUUUGUUAUGUGGUAGUCGCACCGGGGGUUCUUUCAUUU
rnacentral:ncRNA from 12 species